AACGUGUCGCGAUGGAUGACUUGGCUUCCUAUUUCGUUGAAGAACGCAGCAAAGUGCGAUAAGUGGUAUCAAUUGCAGAAUCAUUCAUUACCUAAUCUUUGAACGCAAACGGCGCAUGGGAGAAGCCUACCGGCCAUCCCCGUGCAUGCCACAUCUCAGUGUCGA
rnacentral:rRNA from 1 species